rnacentral:rRNA from 1 species
CCGACCGGCGCACGGGUGAGUAACACGUAUGCAACCUGGCCGUGACAGAUGGAUAACCGGGAGAAAUCCCGCCUAAUACAACAUAAUGCCGGGAGGGGACAUCCCCUGCCGGUCAAAGGGGGCGACCCCGGUCAUGGAUGGGCAUGCGGCGCAUUAGGUAGUUGGUGGGGCAACGGCCCACCAAGCCGACGAUGCGUAGGGGUUCUGAGAGGAAGGUCCCCCACAUUGGAACUGAGACACGGCCCAAACUCCUACGGAAGGCAGCAG